rnacentral:rRNA from 1 species
GUAGGGAAUAUUGGGCAAUGGAGGCAACUCUGACCCAGCCAUGCCGCGUGCAGGAUGACGGCCCUCUGGGUUGUAAACUGCUUUUAUACGGGAAGAAAAAAUACUACGUGUCGUAUACUGACGGUACCGUAAGAAUAAGGAUCGGCUAACUCCGUGCCAGCAGCCGCGGUAAUACGGAGGCUCCAAGCGUUGUCCGGAUUUAUUGGGUUUAAAUGGUGCGUAGGCGGAUCUUUAAGUCAGUGGUGAAAGCCUGCAGCUUAACUGUAGAAUUGCCAUUGAAACUGAAGGUCUUGAAUGUGAUUAGAGUAGGCGGAAUGUAUCAUGUAGAGGUGAAAUGCUUAGAUGUGAUACAGAACAGCGAUAGCGAAGGCAGCGUGCUGAACCAUUAUUGACGCUGAGGCACGAAAGCGUGGGGAGCGAACAGGAUGAGAAACCCGUGUAGUCC